rnacentral:misc_RNA from 1 species
GGGCUCUGGUCUUUUGGAGACUCUAAGAUAGAAAGAUGAGAAAGCAUGAACUCAAAAUUACAACCAUUUUACAUCAGAAGAAGCAAACCUUACUUAAACACUACUUUAAAAUCAAUAAAAUAAAUAAGCUCAAUAAAAUUUAAAAUAGAAGUUUUGAAUUCUAUUGAAUAGUAUGCUUUCAAAACCACUUUCAGGUAAAAGAAGGUUAUCUGGAAGAAACAUGUUCAGAACUCUAAAUUAUAAUUUGAAUCUACAUGUCCAUUAAGGCAGUAAAAUUGAGUCAUUUAUUCAUCUCAGUUUCCUUUCUUCACCAGUAGAAGAAAAGAAUCACAGUGUGAAAUGAAUUAUCAAUAACAAAAGAACCCAGAAAGGAACCUUAAAAGAAACUAGGAAACACAGAAUCAAAAUACAAUUACUACUUUCUAAAGCAAGAAAAGGAAAGAAAACAAAAGAUAAACAACGGUUAAAAAGGACAAAAAACUAUUUUUUUACUUAGUUUUGAAACAGUGGAUACGUUAUAAAAUUAUUGUUGUGAUAAGUAUUAACCCACCCACCACAGUGAGAAGGUUUCCACUUUCCACAUAAGAAGGAAAAUAGAAAGUAUAUCACCUUUACAGAUGGGAAUAAACUGAAGUCAAGGGAAAAAGAAAAAGGUAAAACUCAAAAAAGCUACCAUUUCCUUUCAUUCUUUUCUUAAUCAAAUUGCAGAAGGAUAGUGUACAGAAUCCCAAGAACUCAUCUUCCAAGAUGUCAAAUUCGACUGUUUUUAGAUAAUCUUGAAAAGGCCCCAAAAAGAAUAACUAAAAAAAUUAAGAAACACAAGACAAACAGAAUGUUAAGAGAAUAUGAAUAUCCAAUCUCAUAUGAUUUUGGAGAAAGAAAUAGCCAUCAGAAUCAAACACUUAAAUCAAACUUCAUCACAGAAUUUGAGCAACUGUACAGAGAAACAAAAAGAACAAAAAAGAGGAAAAUAAGAGAAAAGGAGCAUAUAAUUCACAUAGGACGUUGAGAAACAAAGAGCAGAAGUAGAGAAUCACAGAGCAUGAUCAUUUCAAUCAAACUAUUGUCCUCCUUUUAGCCAAUCGUAAUGCAAAAACUCACAAAAAGAGACCCAUUUCUUGAAUCAAACAAGAAAUAAACCUCAACAGAUAGAUUAAAUUAAACAAGCAAAAAGAUUGGUAGCCAACCUGAUUUUGC